UUCAUGGCUUAAAUUUUAAGGCAAAUUUUCUGAGUUCAUAGGGUUUCCAUAGAAUAUGGAUGGAUUGUAUAAAAACUUUUUUUUUCUCUAAAAGGAAGGUCAUGAGGACAUGACUACAUCACUACUAGGUUUUUCAUCAAUUGCAAAACAGUUAGAGACAACACUUCAGGAACAGAAAGAAAUAUUAGAGUCUUUGACUAAGUGGUUUGGAAAGGAAGUCCAGCAGAUGGAAGAGUUAGGAAAAGAUGAACUUUUUCCAGAACUGCAGCUUCCUAUGGCUGAUAAGGACAUAACAGAUAGCAUAAUUAAACUAACACAACACAUCAGAAGUCUUGAAGAACUAAGAAACCGCAUUCACCAUCUGCCAAAGUCUGUGCAACCACCUCUAGCCAAACAAGCUUGUAAGAAAACAUG
rnacentral:lncRNA from 1 species